GGCUUCGUAGCUCCGCUGGUAGAGUGUGCGUUGUACAAAAGUGAAGGCAGCCUCUAUGCGUGCGUGGGUUCGAAUCCCGCCGAGGUUU
rnacentral:tRNA from 1 species